rnacentral:pre_miRNA from 1 species
AUAUUACUCCCUCCGUCCGAAAUUACUUGUCAUCAAAAUGGAUGAAAAUAGAUGUAUCUAGAACUGAAAUACAUCUAGAUACAUCCAUUUCAAUGACAAGUAUUUCCAGACGAAGAGAAUACUAU